rnacentral:rRNA from 1 species
AAGCGGAGGAAAAGAAACCAACCGGGAUUGCCUCAGUAACGGCGAGUGAAGCGGCAAGAGCUCAAAUUUGAAAGCUGGCUCCUUCGGAGUCCGCAUUGUAAUUUGCAGAGGAUGCUUUGGGUGCGGCCCCCGUCUAAGUGCCCUGGAACGGGCCGUCAGAGAGGGUGAGAAUCCCGUCUUGGGCGGGGUGUCCGUGCCCGUGUAAAGCUCCUUCGACGAGUCGAGUUGUUUGGGAAUGCAGCUCUAAAUGGGUGGUAAAUUUCAUCUAAAGCUAAAUACUGGCCGGAGACCGAUAGCGCACAAGUAGAGUGAUCGAAAGAUGAAAAGCACUUUGAAAAGAGAGUUAAACAGCACGUGAAAUUGUUGAAAGGGAAGCGCUUGCGACCAGACUCGCCCGCGGGGUUCAGCCGGCAUUCGUGCCGGUGUACUUCCCCGUGGGCGGGCCAGCGUCGGUUUGGGCGGCCGGUCAAAGGCCCCUGGAAUGUAGUACCCUCCGGGGUACCUUAUAGCCAGGGGUGCAAUGCGGCCAGCCUGGACCGAGGAACGCGCUUCGGCACGGACGCUGGCAUAAUGGUCGUAAACGACCCGUCUUGA